rnacentral:rRNA from 1 species
CAUUAAGUGAAUACAUAGCUUAAUGAGGGGAACUCAGGGAACUGAAACAUCUAAGUACCUGAAGGAAGAGAAAGAAAUUCGAUUCCGUAAGUAGCGGCGAGCGAACGCGGAAGAGCCCAAACCAAUAAAGUUUUCUUUAUUGGGGUUGCGGACAUAUCAUAACGAAGAGGUAUCGUAAUUGAAGAGGUUUGGAAAGACCCACCACAGAAGGUAAUAGUCCUGUAUGUUAAACGA